UACAGAGGGUGCGAGCGUUAAUCGGAAUUACUGGGCGUAAAGCGUGCGUAGACGGUAGCGUAAGUCAGAUGUGAAAGCCCCGGGCUCAACCUGGGAACUGCAUUUGGGACUGCAAGGCUGGAGUGCGGCAGAGGAGACUGGAAUUCCUGGUGUAGCAGUGAAAUGCGUAGAUAUCAGGAGGAACACCGAUGGCGAAGGCAGGUCUCUGGGCUGACACUGACGCUCAUGCACGAAAGCGUGGGGAGCAAACAGG
rnacentral:rRNA from 1 species